UACGAAGGGUGCAAGCAUUACUCGGAAUUACUGGGCGUAAAGCGUGCGUAGGUGGUUUGUUAAGUCUGAUGUGAAAUCCCCGGGCUCAACCUGGGAACUGCAUUUGUGACUGCAUGGCUAGAGUACGGUAGAGGGGGAUGGAAUUCCGCGUGUAGCAGUGAAAUGCGUAGAUAUGCGGAGGAACACCGAUGGCGAAGGCAGCCUUCUGGGCCAACACUGACGCUCAUGCACGAAAGCGUGGGGAGCAAACAGG
rnacentral:rRNA from 1 species